rnacentral:lncRNA from 1 species
AGUGCGGCCCACCUCCCCAUGUCCCCUCGGCCAGCUUCCCUAGACAGAGGGAACUAUGUUCGACUUAACAUGAAAACCAAAUGCUUUGUACGAGUUGGGGCCAGUCGGGGCAGGCUUCUCCGAAAGCAGGUGAGAUAUGCCGAAAGGAACAGGCCAGCCCUUCUCUCCUCCCAUCCACUCCUAAUUGGUUCUUCCAUUUGUGGCCCUUCUCCAGGUAUGGAAGCAAAAGUGGAAGAAGAAACAAGAGUGGUUUGGGAAAAGUGGACCCAGGGCCACAGUCAAGGACACUUGUUUCCGGUGUGGGCAGUUUGGUCACUGGGCAUCCCAGUGUUCCCAACCAGCAGCUCUUAACCCUGGUCCAGGCUCCACCCUGACCAUCCAGCCAAAAGGUGACAGGAAUGACAAACAUCCCAUUUCCACGUUGGGGGGAGUAGCACAGAAGACUGGCACCACUUCCUGUAACCACUCUGGUGAGGAAACUGAACCUGCUGGACCAGUGCUACCGGUGCCUCAUUGCCCCACGCCAGUGUUACCCCUCUACCCACCAGGGCCCUUGGGACAGGUAGCAGACACCCCUGCUGAGGUAUUCCAAGUCCUGGAGCAGCUAGGGCACCACCAAACAUGGGAGGGGCUACAUGAGGGGGCAUGGGGCAAGCCAGACUGCCACUCCACAGAGGCUGUCAGGCUCACCAAGGCAAUGAUGUGGCCAUCACUGACUGUUAGGCAGAACCUUCUGGCUGCAGGAAGGGGAUAAGAAGAUCCAAAAUACAGAUAAAGAGCCUUC